CCUACGGGAGGCAGCAGUAAGGAAUAUUGGACAAUGGUCGCAAGACUGAUCCAGCCAUGCCGCGUGCAGGAUGACUGCCCUAUGGGUUGUAAACUGCUUUUGUACGGGAAUAAACCCCUCUACGUGUAGAGGGCUGAAUGUACCGUAAGAAUAAGGGUCGGCUAACUUCGUGCCAGCAGCCGCGGUAAGACGAAGGACCCAAGCGUUAUCCGGAUUCAUUGGGUUUAAAGGGUGCGUAGGCGGAUUGAUAAGUCAGUGGUGAAAGCCUGUUGCUUAACAACAGAACUGCCAUUGAUACUGUCUAUCUUGAAUAUGGUUGAUGUGGGCGGAAUAUGACAUGUAGCGGUGAAAUGCUUAGAUAUGUCAUAGAACACCGAUUGCGAAGGCAGCUCACAAAGCCAUUAUUGACGCUGAGGCACGAAAGCGUGGGGAUCAAACAGGAUUAGAUACCCUGGUAGUCCACGCUGUAAACUUUGAUCACUCGCUGUUGGCGAUACACUGUCAGCGGCUAAGCGAAAGCGUUAAGUGAUCCACCGUGGGGAGUACGAUCGCAAGAUUAGAAACUACAAAGGAAUUAGGACGG
rnacentral:rRNA from 1 species